AUAUUUACAAGUUACAACAAUAAAGAAAAAAGAAAAAAAGAGAGAAAAGAAUACGUCAUUCAUUCACCUAAUACUAACGGAAGCUACAACACUUCUAUGAGCAGCGAGUAGUUCCUUUCGGGGCUGUCGGGCCUGAUUCCGGAGGGACCGGGACGGAUUGAUGAUUUCAGUAUUGGAUAAGUUUGGUUUUGUUGCGAUGGAUUAGGAUUCCGCUUUUUCCCGGUAAAUCUUGCAGAUUUGGAUAUGUGGAAAACUUGUGUUCGCGUCCUGUUCGCUUGAACCUUACGUCGGCCCAACCCGGUCAACUCCAACCGGCCCGGUGCAGCUUGUUUCGGUCCCAUUCAAUUAUGGUUUCGGGACGUGUGCAACUAAGUCUGUCCCGGUUCUGCCUGUAUAAGGUGGGAACCAAAAAUGUGAGGUAUGUAAAUAAAGACCGAAUAUUCAUUGGGUUUAUUUGUUUGUUUUUAGAGUAUGCUUAGUUCUGUUAUUUUAGAACAUGCCUAGUUCUAUUUUUCUUUGUCUUAAGAUAAAUCCAUAUCCAGUCAAUUUAGACUAUGACUGUUUAUCUCGACCAUUAAAAGUUUUAGUUUUAGUGUUAUUUUAUUCUCUUGAAUAUGAUAUUGGUUAUAGUUGAAUGGUGUCUUUUGUUUAAUUGUUUGUACCAACUCAAUUCUAAUGUAUUUAUUUGGGGUUUAGAA